rnacentral:rRNA from 1 species
GACGAACGCUGGCGGCGUGCUUAACACAUGCAAGUCGAACGGAAAGGCCCUGCUUUUGUGGGGUGCUCGAGUGGCGAACGGGUGAGUAACACGUGAGUAACCUGCCCUUGACUUUGGGAUAACUUCAGGAAACUGGGGCUAAUACCGGAUAGGAGCUCCUGCUGCAUGGUGGGGGUUGGAAAGUUUCGGCGGUUGGGGAUGGACUCGCGGCUUAUCAGCUUGUUGGUGGGGUAGUGGCUUACCAAGGCUUUGACGGGUAGCCGGCCUGAGAGGGUGACCGGCCACAUUGGGACUGAGAUACGGCCCAGACUCCUACGGGAGGCAGCAGUGGGGAAUAUUGCACAAUGGGUGGGAGCCUGAUGCAGCAACGCCGCGUGCGGGAUGACGGCCUUCGGGUUGUAAACCGCUUUCGCCUGUGACGAAGCGUGAGUGACGGUAAUGGGUAAAGAAGCACCGGCUAACUACGUG